UGCCUAGGAAUCUGCCUGGUAGUGGGGGACAACGUUUCGAAAGGAACGCUAAUACCGCAUACGUCCUACGGGAGAAAGCAGGGACCUUCGGGCCUUGCGCUAUCAGAUGAGCCUAGGUCGGAUUAGCUAGUUGGUGAGGUAAUGGCUCACCAAGGCGACGAUCCGUAACUGGUCUGAGAGGAUGAUCAGUCACACUGGAACUGAGACACGGUCCAGACUCCUACGGGAGGCAGCAGUG
rnacentral:rRNA from 1 species